GGCUGCUGUGUUCUGGAUGAGCAGCAAAAGAUAAAGACUGCAUAUCCAGACUUUUUAAGGGAAGUGCUCCAGGCCUGUAGGGGCACAAAGUGUCACAGGUCUGAUACCGACUGGACCUCUUCAAAGCAGUCAAGAUACUCCUAUGAUAGGAAGACCAAACCUCUAUAAAUCAGCUGACAGACAACUUCACAACAACACCACAUGAUUCUUCUUAAGACGACUGUUGUAGUGGAAGCAUGUCAAGAUCAGAGUGCUUCCUCAAAGCAGGCCUUUCAAUCACAAUAUCCACACCAGAGAAGAAAGCUGGAACUCUGUUGCUGGCCCCGCCCCUCUGUGGAUUAGGACUGGAAAGAGUGAAGGGCCCUGAGAGGGGUUCGUCGUGCCCGGGUGCUACGGCGGAUCCCCUACGAAGCUUCCCCAAAGCGACAACAAGUUCAAUAUCGAUCAAUAAACUAUCUUUCAAAUCUCA